rnacentral:rRNA from 1 species
AUACGGAGGGUGCAAGCGUUAUCCGGAAUCAUUGGGUUUAAAGGGUCCGUAGGCGGGCUAAUAAGUCAGGGGUGAAAUCCCACAGCUUAACUGUGGAACUGCCCUUGAUACUGUUGGUCUUGAGUUACAGUGAAGUGGUUAGAAUGUGUAGUGUAGCGGUGAAAUGCAUAGAGAUUACACAGAAUACCGAUUGCGAAGGCAGAUCACUAACUGUGUACUGACGCUAAUGGACGAAAGCGUGGGGAGCGAACAGGAUUAGAUACCCCGGUAGUCC